rnacentral:rRNA from 1 species
UGGAGAGGCUUCGGCAAUGGACGAAAGUCUGAUCCAGCCACGCCGCGUGAGCGAUGAAGGCCUUCGGGGUGUAAAGCUCUUUUGUGAGGGAAGAAAGGCUCUGGCCCAAUACCUUUUUGUCUGACCGUUCCUCGCGAAUUAACUCCCGCUAACUUCUGGGCCACCGCCCCCGUAAUUCCGGAGGAGGCAACCUUGUUCCGAAUCUCUGGGCGUAAAGGGCGCCUAAGCCGGCUUGUUAGUGGGGAGGGAAAUCCCAUGGCUUUACCCUGGAACUGCCCCUCGUACUGGGAGAGUUGGAUUCCGCAGAAGAGAGAGGAAUUCCCUGUGUGUCGGUGAAAUGGCUAGAUAUAUCAGAAGAAACCCUUUGGCAAAGGCACUUUCUGGGCUGCUACUGACACUUAAGGCCCAAAGCCAUGGGAACCAACCAGAAUAAAUUCCCUGGUAGUCCUGGCCCCUAACCGAGGACACUUAGUGUUGGAGGAAUCAAACCCUCUUAUGCCCCAACUUACCCAUUGAAUGUCACCCCUGGGGAAUACCACCGCCAGGGUG